UGCCAGCAGCCGCGGUAAUACGAAGGUGGCGAGCGUUGUUCGGAUUCACUGGGCAUAAAGGGCGCGUAGGCGGCCCUGUAAGCGGCGUGUGAAAGCCUGGAGCUCAACUCCAGAACUGCACGCCGAACUACAGAGGCUAGAGGACGGGAGGGGAGUAUGGAACUCUAGGUGGAGCGGUGAAAUGCGUAGAUAUCUAGAGGAACGCCGGUGGCGAAAGCGAUACUCUGGCCCGACCCUGACGCUGAGGCGCGAAAGCGUGGGUAGCAAACAGGAUUAGAUA
rnacentral:rRNA from 1 species